rnacentral:rRNA from 1 species
AGUGAACGCUGGCGGUAGGCCUAACACAUGCAAGUCGAACGGCAGCACAGUAAGAGCUUGCUCUUACGGGUGGCGAGUGGCGGACGGGUGAGGAAUACAUCGGAAUCUACUUUUUCAUGGGGGAUAACGUAGGGAAACUUACGCUAAUACCGCAUACGACCUACGGGUGAAAGCAGGGGAUCUUCGGACCUUGCGCGAUUGAAUGAGCCGAUGUCGGAUUAGCUAGUUGGCGGGGUAAAGGCCCACCAAGGCGACGAUCCGUAGCUGGUCUGAGAGGAUGAUCAGCCACACUGGAACUGAGACACGGUCCAGACUCCUACGGGAGGCAGCAGUGGGGAAUAUUGGACAAUGGGCGCAAGCCUGAUCCAGCCAUACCGCGUGGGUGAAGAAGGCCUUCGGGUUGUAAAGCCCUUUUGUUGGGAAGGAAAAGCAGCAGGUUAAUACCCCGCUGUUCUGACGGUACCCAAAGAAUAAGCACCGGCUAACUUCGUG